CAGCAAGAGGGUGACGUAGAGU
rnacentral:misc_RNA from 1 species